GGUCAACCUGAGCAGCCUACACCUGCAAAGACCCAAGAAUGAGCCGGGUGGAUCAAGUCUGAAGAAGGGAUUGUAUGAAGUCCAGAAAAAUCCUGCAAGUGUUUAGUUAAGAGGAUGUAUUCCUUUGGAAAUGAGACCAUGGUGCUGCCUACAUCUCUCUGUCCCAGCCAUUCUUGGAGUUGCAGAUACCUGGUUUUGAACCAAGAAUCCUGUAUGGACUCUGAGGUGAAGCAUGCCACAUUCUGAGCUCUGGACUUUCCAGCCUCUCUGUUUCCCUGUGUAAAAUGGGAAGAAGAGGAACAUUCAUGUCAUCGGUGAGUAUGGAGGUCUGAGUUUUGCCACAUGAAUAUUGAACCCCGGAUGACACGGUUGACCUCAAAUCUUUGGCCACACAUUUGAACCUCAUCCUUAGGAUUCACAUCUGAAUUCUCAA